CCUAUGAAUAGUUUAAAUGGCCGCAGUACUUUGACUGUGCAAAGGUAGCAUAAUCACUUGUCUCUUAAUUAGAGGCUAGAAUGAAGGGGGCGACGAAAUCUAGGCUUUUUAAGGUUAAAUAUAAAUUGACAUGGAGGUCAAAAGGCCUCCAUAGAUCAGGGGGACGAUAAGACCCUAUAAAACUUUACCUUUAAAAUAAAUCUCACUAGAUUAGAUUUUAAAUAAGGUUGAGCUGGGGCGGUGUAGAUAAUAACAAUUUUAUAUAAAAUAUUUUAAAUAAUACUUUAGAACUCUGUAGAAAUAGAAUAAGUUACUUUAGGGAUAACAGCAUAAUUCUCUCAGAGAGUACUAAUUGGCGGGAGAGCUUAUGACCUCGAUGUUGAAUUGGGGAUCCCCGUGUGAGCAGAAAUAUACGAGGGCAGUCUGUUCGACUGUUAAACCCCC
rnacentral:rRNA from 1 species